rnacentral:rRNA from 1 species
CGAACUUUUGGGAGGUUGUGCCCUUGAGGCGUGGCUUCCGGAGCUAACGCGUUAAGUCGACCGCCUGGCGGAUUACGGCCGCAAGGUUAAAACUCAAAUGAAUUGACGGGGGCCCGCACAAGCGGUGGAGCAUGUGGUUUAAUUCGAUGCAACGCGAAGAACCUUACCUGGCCUUGACAUCCAGAGAACUUAGCAGAGAUGCUUUGGUGCCUUCGGGAACUCUGAGACAGGUGCUGCAUGGCUGUCGUCAGCUCGUGUUGUGAAAUGUUGGGUUAAGUCCCGCAACGAGCGCAACCCUUAUCCUUUGUUGCCAGCGGGUGAUGCCGGGAACUCAAAGGAGACUGCCGGUGAUAAACCGGAGGAAGGUGGGGAUGACGUCAAGUCAUCAUGGCCCUUACGGCCAGGGCUACACACGUGCUACAAUGGCGCAUACAAAGAGAAGCGACCUCGCGAGAGCAAGCGGACCUCAUAAAGUGCGUCGUAGUCCGGAUCGGAGUCUGCAACUCGACUCCGUGAAGUCGGAAUCGCUAGUAAUCGUAGAUCAGAAUGCUACGGUGAAUACGUUCCCGGGCCUUGUACACACCGCCCGUCACACCAUGGGAGUGGGUUGCAAAAGAAGUAGGUAGCUUUAACCUUUCGGGAGGGCGCUUACCACUUUGUGAUUCAUUGACUGGGGUGAUAGUCGUAACCAGGUUAACCGGUAACCUUUACUUUAACUUACUUUCGAAU